rnacentral:rRNA from 1 species
UACAGAGGGGGCAAGCGUUGUUCGGAAUUACUGGGCGUAAAGCGUGCGCAGGCGGUGAUGUAAGACAGUUGUGAAAUCCCCGGGCUCAACCUGGGAACUGCAUCUGUGACUGCAUCGCUGGAGUGCGGCAGAGGGGGAUGGAAUUCCUGGUGUAGCGGUGAAAUGCGCAGAUAUCAGGAGGAACACCGGUGGCGAAGGCGCUGCUCUGGGCCGAAACUGACGCUGAGGAGCGAAAGCGUGGGUAGCAAACAGG